rfam:Gossypium hirsutum cultivar TM-1 chromosome 10, whole genome shotgun sequence
GGUUGCAUUACAGGGCAAAAUCUCCUCUGGCAGCCAGCCAUUGCCACUUCACCUAUGAAUUCUAGUGUGCUCUCUGCCAAUGGAGAUUUGCCCCGCAAUUCCACU